GUGGCAGCAGCCGCGGUAAUACGAAGGGACCUAGCGUAGUUCGGAAUUACUGGGCUUAAAGAGUUCGUAGGUGGUUAAAAAAGUUGGUGGUGAAAUCCCAGAGCUUAACUCUGGAACUGCCAUCAAAACUUUUUAGCUAGAGUAUGAUAGAGGAAAGUAGAAUUUCUAGUGUAGAGGUGAAAUUCGUAGAUAUUAGAAAGAAUACCAAUUGCGAAGGCAGCUUUCUGGAUCAUUACUGACACUGAGGAACGAAAGCAUGGGUAGCGAAGAGGAUUAGAUACCCUCGUAGUCCAUGCCGUAAACGAUGUGUGCUAGACGUUGGAAAUUUAUUUUCAGUGUCGCAGCGAAAGCGUUAAGCACACCGCCUGGGGAGUACGACCGCAAGGUUAAAACUCAAAUGAAUUGACGGGGACCCGCACAAGCAGUGGAGCAUGUGGUUUAAUUCGAAGAUACGCGCAGAACCUUACCAACACUUGACAUGUUCGUCGCGACUUUAAGAAAUUAAAGUUUUCGGUUCGGCCGGACGAAACACAGGUGCUGCAUGGCUGUCGUCAGCUCGUGUCGUGAGAUGUUGGGUUAAGUCCCGCAACGAGCGCAACCCUUACUUUUAGUUGCCACCAUUUAGUUGAGCACUCUGAAAGAACUGCCAGUGAUAAGCUGGAGGAAGGUGGGGAUGACGUCAAGUCCUCAUGGCCCUUACGUGUUGGGCUACACACGUGCUACAAUGGCACUUACAAUAGGAAGCAAAGAGGCGACUCUAAGCAAAUCCUAAAAAAGUGCCUCAGUUCGGAUUGUACUCUGCAACUCGAGUACAUGAAGCUGGAAUUGCUAGUAAUCGCGGAUCAGCGCGCCGCGGUGAAUACGUUCCCGGGUCUUGCACACACCGCCCGUC
rnacentral:rRNA from 1 species